rnacentral:lncRNA from 1 species
UCUAUGGGGCGCAGUGUGUCUCUAUGGGUCUCUAUGGGGCACAGUGGGUCUCUAUGGGGCAGAGUGGGCCUCUGUGGGGCUCUGUGGGUCUCUGUGGGGCAGAGUGGGUCUCAGUGGGGCUCUGUGUGGGCUCUAUGAGGCACAGUGUGUCUCUAUGGGUCUCUAUGGGGCACUGUGGGUCUCUAUGGGUCUCUAUGGGGCCCAGUGUGUCUCUGUGGGUCUCUAUGGGGCACAGUGGGUCUCUAUGGGUCUCUGUGGGGCGCAGUGGGUCUCUGUGGGUCUCUGUGGGGCACAGUGGGUCUCUAUGGGGCUCUAUGGGGCACAGUCUGUCUCUAUGGGGCUCUGUUGGGCACAGUGGGUCUCUGUGGGUCUCUAUGUGGGCUCUAUGGGGCUCUAUGUGGGCUCUAUGGGGCUCUAUGGGACUCUACGUAGGCUCUAUGGGGCUCUAUGGGGUGCUAUGGGUCUCUGUGGGGUGCUGUGGGGCUCUUUGUGGGCUCUGUGGGUCUCUAUGGGGCACUGUGGGUCUCUAUGGGUCUCUGUGGGGCACAGUGGGUCUCUAUGGGGCUCUAUGGGGCUCUAUGGGGCUCUAUGGGGCACAGUGGGUCUCUAUGGGUCUCUGUGGGGCACAGUGGGUAUCUAUGGGGCUCUAUGGGGCUCCAUGGGGCUCUAUGGGUCUCUGUGGGGCACUAAGGUGUAUCUAUGGGGCACAGUGGGUCUCUAUGGGGCUCUAUGGGGCUCUAUGGGGCACUGUGGAUCUCUAUGGGGCUCUACGGGGCACUGUGGGUCUCUGUGGGGCUCUAUGGGGCGCAGUGGGUCUCUAUGGGUCUCUAUGGGGCACAGUGGGUCUCUAUGGGGCUCUAUGGGUCUCUAUGGGGCACUAUGGGUCUCUAUGGGGCACAGUGGGUCUCUAUGGGGCGCAGUGUGUCUCUAUGGGUCUC